rnacentral:snRNA from 1 species
GUGUUUGCUUCGGCAGCACAUAUACUAAAAUUGGAAUGAUACAGAGAAGAUUAGCAUGGCCCCCGUGCAAGGAUGAAAUGCAAAUUCGUGAAGCAUUCCAUAUUUUU